UAAGAGUGGUCUUCCGCUGCAAGGGCAUGCUGUGCAAAGCAGACCUCGGCAGCUGGCACCUUUAGCUGUCGUUUAAAAAUGGGAUAACUGCAAAAUCCAUCAGAGAUAUGGCACUGGUUGAAGCAGAAACCCAGGAGACCAGCAGAGUCAACAGUCUAGUAAGGGAAGAGGCAAGACAAGCACGUCUGUACUGUGAAAGUAACCCCCUCUGCCCUGCAAGCACCGUGCAGCAUAUACUGUAGGGGUGGAAGACAAGAGCGGGGGAUGGUCUGGAAACUCACACGUCUCCUGAAAGUAGAAGUGAAAGUACAGAGGUGUUGGAGAGGAGAAAACUCCUGGCUCCGUGCUUACCUCCUGAGAGAGCUUCCUCUCUUUCCACAGGACCAGCAAGCCUUGUGGCCAGCAGUCCAGACUGCCAGCAUCAACCCUGCUGCCUGCAAUUGCAGCUGGGGCAGGAUGCUUUGGGCCAGUAAUGAAGAAAAAAUGAACAACCUGCAAGAAGGAAGGUUUUCUUUCCUAGCUGUGUGCAGGCAGACCCUAAAAACAGAAGCAGAACUGUGGACCUGAUACGUGCAGCAGGUGAGGUCGUCAGGAGACAGAAUGACUCUUACUGAGCCCGUCUUGAAGACAGUCACUGCUGUAGAAGAGCACUGAAGCACAGUAGUUUGCGUAGCGCUGGAUUUCCAACUUUGCCUUCGUAUGGCAUAGAAAAAUCCAGAGAAAUGCAAGAGAGCAGCUGAAGAGUGCAGGCCUGCAAGGAAGUCAAACUGAGUGAGCAUAGGCGAUCACAUCCCACUUCUUAAGGCCUCGGUUUUGCAGUCCCACUGAAAUGCUAUUUGUACCUGGGCUCGUGCAAGGAGAUGGGCUGUGUUUGUGACUGGUUUCCUGUGCUGAGUGAUGCUGUCACUGACUCGUGCAAGCAGCGCCCUGACAGCCAUGCUGCCUUCCUCCAGCAGCUGCGAGCAAGGAUUGCUUCUGUGCGGUGGGUAGGCUGAGAGUUCCCUUCUGUUGGUCCUGGUCUGGCAAAAUGUUUAGGGGAUGAGGCAGCUCUGCCCCUCAAGGUGUGAAGGCAGAGCUGCUCCAGCAGCAGGAGCACCUGGCUGGGCGGAGGGCCUCUCGCAGGGCUUAGGGCUGCAGAGAAGCCGCGUUUGUCCGGGGAACACCAGGCAGGGGACCAGGAGAGCGAGAAGGAGAGAAAGCAGAUGAGCCGCUAACAACUAAACGAGGUGGCAGCUGUCUCCUAUUGGCACCUGCGGCUUGUUGCGCUCACCGGCUGAAACGCCCUGCCCAGGAACAUCGCUUUGGGAAGGCUUUGCACUGCAAAGGGGGGGAAGGCUGUCGUAGGAACGCCGGCAGACCUCGAGGCGCUGAGCGGCCUCCCCUGCUGAGUCCCAGCGGGGAAACCGCCGCUGCGCAGCCCGCACGUUAACCCGAGCUGCGGCCCGUGCUCCACAGGCACGGGAGCGCUCAGAAGUUAAUUAAAUUCCCACCCACCACCUGGC
rnacentral:lncRNA from 1 species